rnacentral:rRNA from 1 species
CGUAGGUGGCAAGCGUUGUCCGGAAUUAUUGGGCGUAAAGCGCGCGCAGGCGGUUCCUUAAGUCUGAUGUGAAAGCCCCCGGCUCAACCGGGGAAGGUCAUUGGAAACUGGGGAACUUGAGUGCAGAAGAGAAGAGCGGAAUUCCACGUGUAGCGGUGAAAUGCGUAGAGAUGUGGAGGAACACCAGUGGCGAAGGCGGCUCUUUGGUCUGUAACUGACGCUGAGGCGCGAAAGCGUGGGGAGCAAACAGGAUUAGAUACCCUGGUAGUCCACGCCGUAAACGAUGAGUGCUAAGUGUUAGAGGGUUUCCGCCCUUUAGUGCUGCAGCUAACGCGUUAAGCACUCCGCCUGGGGAGUACGGCCGCAAGGAUG